rnacentral:lncRNA from 1 species
GUAUAAAAUGAAUUUUAAUUACAUUAAAUUAAAAAGUUGUACAAAUAAAACUAAUAUAGCCAAUCUCAGAGGGAAAACAGAGAAAUUGGGAGAAAAUUUUUAUAGAUACUUUCUCAGAUAAAAGGUUUUGUAUCUUAAAUAUAUAAAGAAUUUGUCAAAUUUAUAAGAAUAUGAGUCAGCCCCCAACUGAUAAAGUAUAAGAACAGGCAGUUUUUGAAUAAAGAAAUAAAAACUAUCUAUAAUUAUGAAAUGUAAAUUAAAACAAUUUUGAGACAUUAUCUUAAACUAUCAGAUUGGCUAGAAUUAUAUAUGAGAAAAAUGACAAGUAUUGGAAACAUGGCAAAAUUGAAAAACUAAUUCACCCAUUUUGGAGAGCUCAUUAUACCUAGAGUUAUAAAACUGUACCUUUUGACCCAUUAGUACCACUAUUCAGUCUGCUUCCUGGGGUGAUCAGGGUAAAAAGGAAAAGAACUUUUUUAUUGGAAAAUAUUAAUGGCAGCUCUGUUUCUUAAAAAAACAAAAACAAAAACAUUAUGAUUUAAGCUUGGCCCAGUCUUUCUGCCUUCUUUAUAGAAGUGUGAUGUUAACAUUCUCUCAGACUUCAUUGAUGGGUGGGCUAUGAUGCUGUGCUGUUCUUGGGAAUGUUGUAGGAAUAAUUUAUUGGAAACUCCAAUAGCAGGAGAGAUCCCAUAUUUUUCUUUUUCUUUUUUUUUUUAAUUUAAUAUCCUUUUAUUUACAGGAUAUAUGCAUGGGUAAUUUUACAGCAUUAACAAUUGCCAAACCUCUUGUUCCAUUUUUUCACCUCUUACCCCCCACCCCCUCCCCCAGAUGGCAGGAUGACCAGUAGAUGUUAAGUACAUUAAAAUAUAAAUUAGAUACACAAUAAGUAUACAUGACCAAAACAUUAUUUUGCUGUACAAAAAGAAUCAGACUCUGAAAUAUUGUACAAUUAGCUUGUGAAGGAAAUCAAAAAUGCAGGUGGGCAUAAAUAUAGGGAUUGGGAAUUCUAUGUAAUGGUUUUUAGUCAUCUCCCAGAGUUCUUUUUCUGGGCAUAGCUGGUUCAGUUCAUUACUGCUCCAUUGGAAAUGAUUUGGUUGAUCUCGUUGCUGAGGAUGGCCUGGUCCAUCAGAACUGGUCAUCAUAUAGUAUUGUUGAAGUAUAUAAUGAUCUCCUGGUCCUGCUCAUUUCACUCAGCAUCAGUUCGUGUAAGUCCCUCCAGGCCUUUCUGAAAUCAUCCUGUUGGUCAUUUCUUACAGAACAGUAAUAUUCCAUAAUAUUCAUAUACCACAAUUUAUUCAGCCAUUCUCCAACUGAUGGACAUCCAUUCAGUUUCCAGUUUCUAGCCACUACAAAAAGGGCUGCCACAAACAUUCGUGCACAUACAGGUCCCUUUCCCUUCUUUAUAAUCUCCUUGGGAUAUAAGCCCAGUAAUAACACUGCUGGAUCAAAGGAUCCCAUAUUUUUCAAGCAACCCCCAGGCCAUUUGGCUUUAGGAACAUUUAAUCACCUCAGGAAUAUAGCUGUUGGAAGAGAUAUGGUUCAACCUUGAAGAAUCUGUGUGUGAAAGGGAGUUGGGGCUGAUAAUUUUAUUCCACUAAACUAUUCUUCUAGGAGGACUGGUUUGCUGUCUUAAAAGUCUGGGCUGCUAAGGAGCCUUUCUUAAUAUCAUGAAAUAAGAAGGGGGUUGUUAGCUCCCAUUACCACGUGAAACCCAAUCCCAUAUCAUUUACUCUUCUGUUUAUUCUGUACCCCCAAAUCCCUACAAAUUUACUUGCUUCUUGCUCUUUCCUAUUUUUCUCUCUUGGAACUUAGCCCACUUUAAUUAGCAAUACAAUUGCAAUAAAACCUUGCCUCUUGACUUGGAUAUCUAAACUUCCGAUUUCUUUGGAAAUGUCUGAGUCAUCUGCUCAGAAUACUAUUAUUCUGAGGUUCCUCUGAACCUCAACAUUUUUAUUUGCUCAACUGUCUUUUUCCAUUUUUUAAUUCUGUCAUGUGAUUCUUUUUUUUUUUUUAAAUAUAAAGCCUUUUAUUUUCAAAACACAUGCAUAUAGUUUUUAACAUUCACCCUUGCAAAACCUUGUGUUCAAAAUUCCCCCCCCCCCCUCUUUUCCUCCCACCCCUCGACAGCAAGUUAUCCAAUAAAAUAUGUGAUUCUUAAAGAGUGGAGAAGGGAGGGUUAUUUGGAAAUGAAGGUGACAUAAAAACCAGAAUCAAUACCAUAUCAAUUUCUAAAAAUGUAAUUCAAAGAAAUUUCUUUUGCUGACAAAAAAAGAGCAACCGAAAUCCUCAUUUCCUUGGAAGGAAAGUAUGUUGAUGAGUAGGAAUCAGAGAUAUAGUGAAAAGAAGUAUCCAAACUAUCUAAAAGAAUGUCUUCAAAUACAAACCAAUUUAAAUUUAGGUAGCUUUAUGGGAAAUAAGGUAAAAUAUGGAGUUUGCUUUUCCUGGAAUUGAAAAACCAUUGUGAUUUAAUCAGUAAGUUAUCUUUCAUAGGGCACUGGUUGUUCUCAAAGUAAUAUCAAAUAGUGUCUCCAUGUACAGAUAAAGACAGAAAUUCAUGCCAAAACUUUUGUGUCAUCAUUUAAUAAUUGCUUAUUAGUUCUUUCUUCCCAGGCUCAGAUCUGCUGGACGAAAGCCAGAUGCCUAAGAUUUUAGGACAAGUAAAACUUAUGAAGCCUGCAAAGCAAGACAACUAGCUACUAGCUAGCAAAAACAUUGGAAAGUCUAAGAAAAAUAAAAAACCCAAGAGGAUUAAUUAGUCCUUCACAGAUAGAAAAAAUAUAAAGAAGGCAACACGAAAAUAAACUUUCUGGAUUUUAAAAAGUACCUGUUACAAGCCUCUGAAGAAAGGCAAUUUAUUACUCCCAUUUUACAUAGAGGCCAAGGCUCCGAGUGGUCCCUACUCAGUGCUGGAUAUAAGUACUAUCUGGAUAGCAGAUAAUAAAGUCUUUUAAGUUUAGGGGCAGAGAUUCCUUUCCAUCUGGAGUUUGGGAUGUGCCCCAGAAGAUGGAUCUACAUAGGGAUGGGGUGAAGGAGUCACAGGAGGCAGACAAGAGGCAAGAGAAGCCCAAGGCACCAGACUUCUGAAGGGGAAUUUGGGAUCUCUGGACUGCAUCUUACUAGGAGGUUGUUUUUAGGACUGAAAUGCUCAAAAUGGUAUUUAAGGAAGAUCAACUGAAAAACAGGGUGGAGAGGGCGGCCUCAGUCAAGAUCACCUGGAUUCCAGCCACACGCCUAACCCAUCUACAAAAGGACCACUUAACUUUGCAGUGUCCAAGCUGUAGGAAUUCAACAUUAGUGGAGAGAACUUGAAAUCAUAGUCCAGGUUCUUCCAGCAGCCCCUUUCCCCAUCAAAAAUAUACCCAAAAAACUUAUUCAGGAUACAGGGAGACUUAGAAAUGGGAGAGCAAGUAAAAUGUGUUUUCUCAUGAUGCAAGGUAAUAAAACCUUAAAAGCAUGGAGAAAAGUAGACAAGGUAAGAUGGGCACUUCAGAAAGGUAAAG